UGGGGAAUUUUGGACAAUGGGGGAAACCCUGAUCCAGCCAUCCCGCGUGUGCGAUGAAGGCCUUCGGGUUGUAAAGCACUUUUGGCAGGAAAGAAACGUCAUGGGUUAAUACCCCGUGAAACUGACGGUACCUGCAGAAUAAGCACCGGCUAACUACGUGCCAGCAGCCGCGGUAAUACGUAGGGUGCAAGCGUUAAUCGGAAUUACUGGGCGUAAAGCGUGCGCAGGCGGUUCGGAAAGAAAGAUGUGAAAUCCCAGAGCUCAACUGUGGAACUGCAUUUUUAACUACCGGGCUAGAGUGUGUCAGAGGGAGGUGGAAUUCCGCGUGUAGCAGUGAAAUGCGUAGAUAUGCGGAGGAACACCGAUGGCGAAGGCAGCCGCCUGGGAUAACACUGACGCUCAUGCACGAAAGCGUGGGGAGCAAACAGG
rnacentral:rRNA from 1 species